ACGUGUUACGUCCCGAGAUGGUGUAGAACGGUUAAUGGGGUUUGGGAAAGGACAUCUAGAACAUCUUAAAUUGUUAGAGAUUCAGGUUUGAGAUAGUGACUGCACUCUCUAACAGUUUGGUAACGACUGCGCUCUUCGGAGGUUCGCUCACCACUGACCCGUCCGCGCCCAAGCCGUAUCUCUAGAGUUGGGCCAGGCGCAAAGGGGAGGGGCAAACAAAGCACUCCUCGACUGAGCAUUUAUUUUGUACUACAAUUCUUUGUGAGAAAAUAGAAGAAAGGGAAAGGA